CCCUCCCCGGGCUCCUGGGCCUGCCCGGGGAGCCUCCCCGCGUGGCCUCGAGUCCGGUGGCCUGCCCCGCGCCGCCCAGCGCGUGCCUGCGACCCCGGAUCGGGGAGGGCCCUGAGUGUCGUAAAGCGCUCCGGAGAAUGACUGUCACCGGACAGACCGCCUCUGCACGACGUGAAGACUCGCUGUCGCUGUCGCUCGGGAGGAAGAAGGAGGGCUGCGGGAGCGAGCGCUGUCAGCAGCACAGGUGGCUCAGGUCCCAGGAAGCCAGUUGCAAACCAGAGUGUUGGGCUUGGGAAGAACCCAUCGUCCUUGGCCUGCAGGCCUGUGACUCCUACUCUUGCUGCUGAUUCUACAGACAGCCUCUUCCUCGAGUGUAUUUUCCCCCAGCAAUUACACUCCUCCACUGAAAUCUAAAUUUUCCAUACUGCUGCCUGCUACUAAUAAAAACCGUCUACCUUGCA
rnacentral:lncRNA from 1 species